ACUCCUACGGGAGGCAGCAGUAGGGAAUCUUGGACAAUGGGCGAAAGCCUGAUCCAGCCAUGCCGCGUGAGUGAUGAAGGCCUUAGGGUUGUAAAGCUCUUUCGCCAGGGAAGAUAAUGACGGUACCUGGAUAAGAAGCCCCGGCUAACUUCGUGCCAGCAGCCGCGGUAAUACGAAGGGGGCUAGCGUUGUUCGGAAUUACUGGGCGUAAAGCGCACGUAGGCGGUUUUCCAAGUUGGAGGUGAAAUCCCUGGGCUCAACCCGGGAACUGCCUCCAAAACUGGAUCACUCGAGUCCGAGAGAGGUGAGUGGAAUUUCCAGUGUAGAGGUGAGAUUCGUAGAUAUUGGAAAGAACACCAGUGGCGAAGGCGGCUCACUGGCUCGGUACUGACGCUGAGGUGCGACAGCGUGGGGAGCAAACAGGAUUAGAUACCCUGGUAGUCCACGCCGUAAACGAUGGGUGCUAGUUGUCAGGCAGCUUGCUGUUUGGUGACGCAGCUAACGCAUUAAGCACCCCGCCUGGGGAGUACGGUCGCAAGAUUAAAACUCAAAGGAAUUGACGGGG
rnacentral:rRNA from 1 species